UUUCUAAAUGACUCCUCGUCUUCCUCAACCUGGAAUUAAGCCCGUUGAGUGAAGCUCUUAUGUAAAUAACAAUAUUUAUUACAAACUCAAUUUCUAUUUAUUAUAUACCCAUUACCACAUUCUUUAUUAUAUAUCCAUCGAUUCUCAAAGGAUACCCUGCAAUUCUCUUCAAAUCACCUUCUAAGAUGUUGAAGAAUAAUAUCUUGGUGCAUGAAAAGAAAGCAAAAUUGGAUAUCUUGCAUUCUUGCUCAAAGCCACCUUUACUUUGCUGAAAGAAAUUGCUCAUGUGUGUGCACUUUUGGAUAGUUAUAUUGAGUACAUUUCAGGUAAGUUAGUUUGGUUUAUUUUAAGCCUAAUUGAUUAUAAAAAAAUCUUGCUUCAUAUCUUCUCUAAUUCACCUUCAUUGUGUAGAUUUUUGUUGCUUUUAAAGCUUCUAAUCAGAAGAAUUUGCCAUAGUGUGAUGAAGGAGAAUUGCACAUUUGGUGAAUUACUUCAGCCUUAUCUAUGUUUUAUUGUAAACCAUGGACAUUUACAUUAUGUCUUUCCCUUGUUAAGGUUCUUAUGAUUAUGUAUUAUCUUUUGUAACUGUUAUGUUGGAUUUAAUCAUUGUUUGAUGUUCACUUGAGUUUAUGUAAUCUGGUUUUAAAACAUGGAAUGGCUUCAAG